ACUCGAGUGGCGAACGGGUGAGUAACACGUGGGUGAUCUGCCCUGCACUUCGGGAUAAGCCUGGGAAACUGGGUCUAAUACCGGAUAGGAGCCAUUUUUAGUGUGAUGGUUGGAAAGUUUUUCGGUGUAGGAUGAGCUCGCGGCCUAUCAGCUUGUUGGCGGGGUAAUGGCCUACCAAGGCGGCGACGGGUAGCCGGCCUGAGAGGGUGGACGGCCACAUUGGGACUGAGAUACGGCCCAG
rnacentral:rRNA from 1 species